rnacentral:rRNA from 1 species
ACGGUGGAUGCCCUGGCAGUCAGAGGCGAUGAAGGACGUGCUAAUCUGCGAAAAGCGCCGGCGAGGUGAUAUGAACCCUUGACCCGGCGAUGUCCGAAUGGGGAAACCCAGUGUGAUUCGUCACACUAUCGUUAACUGAAUACAUAGGUUAACGAGGCGAACCGGGGGAACUGAAACAUCUAAGUACCCCGAGGAAAAGAAAUCAACCGAGAUUCCCCCAGUAGCGGCGAGCGAACGGGGAGCAGCCCGGAGUCUGAAUCAGCUUGUGUGUUAGUGGAACGGUCUGGAAAGUCCGACGGUACAGGGUGAUAGUCCCGUACACGAAAGCACACUUGCUGUGAACUCGAAGAGUAGGGCGGGACACGUGGUAUCCUGUCUGAAUAUGGGGGGACCAUCCUCCAAGGCUAAAUACUCCUGACUGACCGAUAGUGAACCAGUACCGUGAGGGAAAGGCGAAAAGAACCCCGGCGAGGGGAGUGAAAAAGAACCUGAAACCGUGUACGUACAAGCAGUGGGAGCACCUUCGUGGUGUGACUGCGUACCUUUUGUAUAAUGGGUCAGCGACUUAUAUUCUGUAGCAAGGUUAACCGUAUAGGGGAGCCGAAGGGAAACCGAGUCUUAACUGGGCGUUAAGUUGCAGGGUAUAGACCCGAAACCCGGUGAUCUAGCCAUGGGCAGGUUGAAGGUUGGGUAACACUAACUGGAGGACCGAACCGACUAAUGUUGAAAAAUUAGCGGAUGACCUGUGGCUGGGGGUGAAAGGCCAAUCAAACCGGGAGAUAGCUGGUUCUCCCCGAAAGCUAUUUAGGUAGCGCCUCGUGAACUCAUCUUCGGGGGUAGAGCACUGUUUCGGCUAGGGGGCCAUCCCGGCUUACCAACCCGAUGCAAACUACGAAUACCGAAGAAUGUUAUCACGGGAGACACACGGCGGGUGCUAACGUCCGUCGUGAAGAGGGAAACAACCCAGACCGCCAGCUAAGGUCCCAAAGUCAUGGUUAAGUGGGAAACGAUGUGGGAAGGCACAGACAGCCAGGAUGUUGGCUUAGAAGCAGCCAUCAUUUAAAGAAAGCGUAAUAGCUCACUGGUCGAGUCGGCCUGCGCGGAAGAUGUAACGGGGCUAAACCAUGCACCGAAGCUGCGGCAGCGACACUAUGUGUUGUUGGGUAGGGGAGCGUUCUGUAAGCCGUUGAAGGUGUGCUGUGAGGCAUGCUGGAGGUAUCAGAAGUGCGAAUGCUGACAUAAGUAACGAUAAAGCGGGUGAAAAGCCCGCUCGCCGGAAGACCAAGGGUUCCUGUCCAACGUUAAUCGGGGCAGGGUGAGUCGACCCCUAAGGCGAGGCCGAAAGGCGUAGUCGAUGGGAAACAGGUUAAUAUUCCUGUACUUGGUGUUACUGCGAAGGGGGGACGGAGAAGGCUAUGUCAGCCGGGCGACGGUUGUCCCGGUUUAAGCAUGUAGGCGGAGGUUCCAGGUAAAUCCGGUACCUUAUUAACGCUGAGGUGUGAUGACGAGGCACUACGGUGCUGAAGUGAUAAAUGCCCUGCUUCCAGGAAAAGCCUCUAAGCAUCAGGUAACACGAAAUCGUACCCCAAACCGACACAGGUGGUCAGGUAGAGAAUACCAAGGCGCUUGAGAGAACUCGGGUGAAGGAACUAGGCAAAAUGGUGCCGUAACUUCGGGAGAAGGCACGCUGAUGUGUAGGUGAAGUCCCUGCGGACGGAGCUGAAAUCAGUCGAAGAUACCAGCUGGCUGCAACUGUUUAUUAAAAACACAGCACUGUGCAAACACGAAAGUGGACGUAUACGGUGUGACGCCUGCCCGGUGCCGGAAGGUUAAUUGAUGGGGUUAGCUGUAAGGCGAAGCUCUUGAUCGAAGCCCCGGUAAACGGCGGCCGUAACUAUAACGGUCCUAAGGUAGCGAAAUUCCUUGUCGGGUAAGUUCCGACCUGCACGAAUGGCGUAAUGAUGGCCAGGCUGUCUCCACCCGAGACUCAGUGAAAUUGAACUCGCUGUGAAGAUGCAGUGUACCCGCGGCAAGACGGAAAGACCCCGUGAACCUUUACUAUAGCUUGACACUGAACACUGGUCCUUGAUGUGUAGGAUAGGUGGGAGGCUUUGAAGCGUGGACGCCAGUCUGCGUGGAGCCGCCCUUGAAAUACCACCCUUUAAUGGCUGGUGUUCUAACGUAGACCCGUAAUCCGGGUUGCGGACAGUGUCUGGUGGGUAGUUUGACUGGGGCGGUCUCCUCCCAAAGAGUAACGGAGGAGCACGAAGGUUGGCUAAUCCUGGUCGGACAUCAGGAGGUUAGUGCAAUGGCAUAAGCCAGCUUGACUGCGAGCGUGACGGCGCGAGCAGGUGCGAAAGCAGGUCAUAGUGAUCCGGUGGUUCUGAAUGGAAGGGCCAUCGCUCAACGGAUAAAAGGUACUCCGGGGAUAACAGGCUGAUACCGCCCAAGAGUUCAUAUCGACGGCGGUGUUUGGCACCUCGAUGUCGGCUCAUCACAUCCUGGGGCUGAAGUAGGUCCCAAGGGUAUGGCUGUUCGCCAUUUAAAGUGGUACGCGAGCUGGGUUUAGAACGUCGUGAGACAGUUCGGUCCCUAUCUGCCGUGGGCGCUGGAGAAUUGAGGGGGGCUGCUCCUAGUACGAGAGGACCGGAGUGGACGCAUCACUGGUGUUCGGGUUGUCAUGCCAAUGGCACUGCCCGGUAGCUAAAUGCGGAAGAGAUAAGUGCUGAAAGCAUCUAAGCACGAAACUUGCCCCGAGAUGAGUUCUCCCUGAGACUUUAAGUCUCCUGAAGGAACGUU